AGUGGGAUAGCUGGGUCAAAUGGUGAUUUCAUUCCAAGUUUUCUAAGGAAUCUCCAUAUUGCUUUCCAGAUUGGUUGCACCAAUUUUCAGUCCUACCAGCAAU
rnacentral:pre_miRNA from 1 species